UUGGAAACAAGUAUUCUUCUCCACUUGCAAAACACGAUAUGGAAAAUGUGGGUUUUGCCAUAUGUUUGUAAAAGUAAAUACUGUUUUCUGUAAAGCAAUUCGUUAAAUUGCAGCAGAGUAAAUAUCGUGUUCUCUCUUUCUCGGACCACAUGGCUGGGAAGAGUUGGUGCAUUGUGAGAUUGUGGAAUGAUGUUUACCUCCAUGUACAGUACCUGAUUGCUUUUUGCUCAGUAGUCUUGAGGACCAGUAGGUUCUAAAUGUGGAAGAUAACAAAUUUACUUUUUUUUUCCUCUUUUUAAACUGCACAAAGCAUUUAAUUUCAGACUCCUCAUUCUGGAUAGAGAGGAGGCAGUCUAAUACAAAUGGAUAACUGCCUUUAAAUUUUAAUAAUUUGUUAAUUUUUAAUCAUACAUUAUGGAGUUUUGGGCGAUCUGACUGAGUGUGAUAUAGUGGGUCCGCGGCUGUAAACUGAUGGCCACUUUUUAAAUCGCCGCACUUGCGGCUUUAAGCAGGGGGCGUGGUAGGGUGGCAGAAGCUGUUCCCAGGCGCAAUGUGGGAGUUUCCGUACUGAAGUGCACAGGUGUGGGAUUGCCGAGAAGGCUAUUGCUGCAGACCGGAGACAUUAUGGGCGGAUCUAAAGGCAGGAUAACUGAAUCAAAUUCGACUGUUCGAUGUUUGUACCGUGAACCUUUACGUUUGUAUUAAUAAUUUUCGCUGUAGUAAUUGAUGUAUAUUUAGUGAUUGAAGUGGGCCGGCAAUCUGCGGUACCGGCAGCUCUUCAAAUUACACAAGGCAAGUUUCACGAGAACUCCUCGACUGUGCAUGGAAGACAAAAACUUUUACAAGCAUCUUGGACACGCUUGAUUAGUUAUUCUGUCGUGAAGCAAGCUUUUGAUAAAGUUCAGAUUGACUCGAAUGGUGCACGAUCUUACCUUUUUUUCUUUUCAGUUUAAUUUCAUAUGUUGGAGUUCUUGGAGCAAUGUGCCUAAAUUGUAAUACCAAAUCUGCCAUGUUUUGGUAUUUUCAAUUUUAAUCAAAUUUCAUGGUAGUUUUGUGCAGAUGAUGCCUGCCGUUUCUAAACUGUUAAAAUACUUUCCUGCAAUGGGGAGUGUACCACUUAAAAUACGUGAGUCAGACUGACAGUCGCGAUGUUCACAGAGCCUUUUCAAUUUAAUUACAAGUGACAUAUUUUUCCUUUCAGCCAACUUGCUACAAGAAUAUCUUCUGGAAAUUGGAUGUUAAUGUAAAAUAAGGUACAUUGCAAACAACUAUUUCUUAAACUUGUAGUGUUUUGACUUUCACGUGUAUCGUCCCAACAAGGGGCUUGGGUUUUUUUUGGCUGCAGAGAUCAGCAGGCCCUCCAGGAGAACUCAACAUGAAAAACUGUUGGAGUUCAUCAUAAAGGGCCAUGGAGCAGAUGAUCACUUGCUGGUACUUAGUUCAAAUAACAAGUAAACUUUGUUAUUGUAAUCUAUCUACUAGCAAAGAGCUAUGAUGACUAUAGCACCAAACUCUUGUAUUUGCUUGUCCAACAGGCUGUUGUAUCUGAAAAGGUGUCAUCCAAAUGGUUUAAAAAUUAAGAAGAUCCUAAAGGUCACCAGGUAAUGAACUCUAUACAGUAGAAGACGAAGAGCUGACAGAUGGCCUCUACAACUGCCUGAUGAAGUGCUGUAGGCACUUUUGAAAAGAUCAACAAAGUGUUGAUGCCAGAGGCCAAUUUGGCUUCAGUGAAUCUGUAAUGAGUACAGAAAGUGUUUCUGAGUAACCUUCUCUCUUUCUGUGUUUGGGAUUGGCUCUUAUUAAAGCUCGAGGAACAGUUGAGAGGAUUUCUCUACCAGAGGCAAAAGGUCUGCUCAUUGAUGGACUAGCAAACAUGAGAGAGAAGAGUUUGACAAACCUGUGCUUCCAACUGUUACAGUACAAAGACAGACAGCAUCACUGAGGCAUUUAAACUUGGGAUUCCAUCUCAACCCCUCCUCUAAUAAACAUGUCACUUUAUUUAUCUGUCUUUUGCCUUUUUAUUUCUGACUGUUAAACUGACUGUGCAUAAUAAUAAAGUUGUAUAUAUUUGAUUUAACUAUUGAUGCAAAUAAUAAAGGACACUUUGUUAUUGUUAAA